UCUGUCUUGCGCUGCUUCCCUCUGGCACUCCUGCAGUCUUUGUGAAACCUUCAGUCAUGAAAUUUCUUUUUCUUAUCUUUUCUUUGGGGAUCUUCCCACUCGCUGCAGAGACAUCUUCAUACUGCGAGGACCUGGGUGGCUUCUGUCAAACUCCAAAAGAUAAGGAAUGUUCCUUUGGUCAACCUCUUCCAGCCAACUGUGGAAUCAAUGGAAAGUGCUGUCCAAGACCUAGGACCUGCGCACAGUUUGGGGGCCAAUGUGUGACUCCAUUAUUUGGACCCUGCCCAUCCGGUGUAGGGUAUCCAGCCAACUGUGGAAUUAAUGGGAAAUGUUGCAAACGAAAAUGAUGCCAACAAGCAGCUUUUAGAGUCCUUAGUUCUGAGUUCCUGAUGCAAGAGGUGAAUCUUCAUUGGAUCAAACAAAGUAGGGCUGAACUUGCGUGAAAAUGAAUAGUAAUAAAUUACUGGAAUCAAUCCAUCAACUCACUCAGUGCAGAUUAAAAUUCCAGAUUUUAAAUCCUA